rnacentral:miRNA from 1 species
UGAUGGAUAAGGAGCAAAUU